UGCUAAAUCUGAGGUCUGGGAAUAGAAAUAAAUGGAAGGAUCUUGCCUGUGAAGGGGGGAACUUCUGGGGAAAUAUUUACUCCAGAGGUAGAAGAAGCAGUCCAAGGGAAAUUUCCUCUCUACAUCCUGAUGUCUGCAGCAAUCUUUCUUUGAGAAGUUAUCCACACUGAACACGUGGCUCCAAAUUGAGCUUGGACCGUUUACUCUGGUAGUUGCAGGAAGAGAAAAUUUAUUUCACUGCUGUGGCCUGGACUCAUAACCUAAAGUCAAUGAUGAGAGAAUCAGAGCAGGCCCAACAUGUUCUGGAGGAUGAAGAAACCGAGGAGAGCACAGGGAAGCAGAGGGAGGAAGAGGAAGGGCAGGAGGCCCAUCUCGCCUUUCUGAGCACCAAGAACCUGGUGGGAUGACCCCACUCACUACCAGAGCAGGGUGGCAGAGGUGAAGGCUGCUCUCCCUUAUCUCCUUGCUGCAGGCCAGCUUCCUAACGCCCGGCACCACCUCAGAAGACCAGCUGAUCCCAGCACAGACGGGGGGGAUGCCAGGUGGGAACUUGGACGGUUGUAUCGCUCUGCCCCACGGCAGCAUCGAGGCUCUUUGAAAGCACUAAAUGCUGGCAAGGGCCAGGACAGGACUAAUGGGCUACUAGCCUCAGGGGACUAAUGGGAUGGCUAAUAAGGACAUGGAUUUUGACAUCGCAGAGCAAAUAAGAAUUGGCAGGCAUUAACCUCAGACAUGUCUGCUACCUAGACAAAUCCAAGCCCCUCUGUCUUCGUUCUGUUUAGCAUAUUAAUGUUUAAUUCCAUUAGCAUCAGCAGCCGUGGCCGCCGUUCAGCCCAGGAGCUGCUUGGAUGAGCCUCGGGAGGUGCCAUUUUUGGAAGGGGACCCCGCAGCUGGCCGGGGGCCAGAGAGCCCUGCCCAGCUCCUCAGCCAGCAGCAGUCCCUACGCUGUGGCUGCAGCUCACAGCGUCUGCCUUUUGCUCACAGUCCCAUGCUAAUUCAGCAUCAAACGCUGCUGCCCACUCCAUGGGCUGCCUCUUUCCCAAAGCACUGCAUCUGUGCUUUAUUGCUGUUUGCGGGGGGUGAUUUUCCCUCUCUCCUCUGCUUUCACCCCUUUCUCUUUCACUUUAAGGAUGCAAAUCCUUACUACCCUACUACAUGCCUUCCAGGAGAAAGAAGGUGGCAGGGGCUGAUUCCAGGCUGGAAAUAGGAUGGGGAAAGAGCUUCUCACAAAGAAAUGAACCAUGUUGAUUCAUCUUCUCCAGCCUCCCUGCUCUCCACUCCUUGCUAAGUGGUAGUGGCAGCAGCAGCAUGGUGUGCAGCGGUGCAUUUCCUUGCAUUCAGCCCAGCAGCCCUGCACACCUCUGGAGAGAGGACUGAUCUCAGGAGGACAGGAAAGAAGCAGUCCCGAUGUCUGCUGCAAUUCCUUUCAGAGCUUAGAAAUCUAAUCAGUGAGGUGGCAUUCUAUUUUUCUCUCCUUUCUCCCUUUAAUUCUUUCCUUUAAACGAGAUAUUAAAAAUAGGAAAUAUUAAUUUGGCAGAUGGUGCAAUUGGGCUUUUGGCAGGAGAACGUACAUUGUGCUGCGGAGUUGCAGACCUCUGUCUCCACACUGGAGCACUGAGUGAUGCUCUGGCUCUUCUCCAGGCAGUGCCUUCCUCCAGCUCUGGGUGCUGGGAGAGCUGUCUGGGGCAGAGGGAGCUCCCGUGGCUCCUUCCUCCAGCUGCAGCCAAGGAGCUUUGAUUUCUGUCAGUUCUAAGCUAUCACCAAAGGGUGGAGAGCUCGUUUUUGCUUUAAUUGUAGCCAGGUUUGAUUGCAGUGGGAGCUGCACACGUGUAAGCACAGCACUAUUUCUGCAGGGAGGUGGUUGAGACUUGGUUUGGAGUUUUAAGGGAAGAGAAGAGAAGGGAGCUCAGCUUAGCUCAUGGGUGUCUUGGCUUUCUACAGCAUGGGAUGCACUGCUUGCUCUUUCAGAGGGGUCUGUGGGAGGGCACUCUGUAGGACCCCACUUAACAUUUCUAUCCACCGGGCCCUGAACUGUUGAGAAUACAGCAGUGAUCACAGUGCUUUUGAAUGAGGCUGCUGGAUGCUCUAGAUCUGCUUACAUCAGACCCCAUCUGCCAGGAUCACAUGCUGGUCCUGACCAACAGUGAGAGCAGAGGCAUGAAGGUGCUUCUCGCUGCCCACAAAGUUUGAGCUGUGGAUGGUGCAAGAUACCAACGUUGCCACGGUUCACAUUUUCUUUCCCACGUACUGUGGGAAAGAGCAAUCCAUCAGUUACCAUCCACGGCAAUCGACAAAUGUUGACGUCUUAAUGGCAACCGCCAUACCUGCAGCUGGAGUGAGAUGGAAUACUGAUAGAGCAGUUAGUACCCAGGAUGGUGAUGUGAUUUUAUAUUUCAUUUAACCCAGAACACAAUACGCUGCAAUGUAUAUAUUUGUAACUGCUCCCUUGAUGGUCUCUCUGGAGUAUUAUAAAGAUUUAUCAUGUAGUGUUUGGUCAAUACUAAAUACCGUGAAAUGUCAGUAGAGCACUUCUUGGAAUUGCUUGAGCAGUAAAUAACAGAAUCCUACAAUAUCCAAAAAGGAACAAACAGGUGAGCAAGUAACCUUAAUGAAACAACAACAACAAAAAACAACAAACACAAUACCUAACCUUUAGAAAAGAACAACAAAACACCGAGGAUUUUGUUAUUAAGUCCCCUUGACUUUUAAUAAGAUGUAUAUAUAUGUCAUUUAACUGCUCUGAUAGUUGUAGCCAUUUAGAUCUGGAAAUUUGGUGCCAUGGAUUUUUGAGUCCAAGCACCACAUCAAGUUUCCCCCACUCCUUUUACCACCAUGAAACCCCUGUUCCUCCUGUUCCACAGCCCUGUGUCAGCAGCCGUGCCAUGGCCAGAGAGCCUGCGAGAACAUCCUCUGGGUCCUCUGCAGGAACCAGUCCCAGAAACAGCAGCUGGGAGGUGGCGUGGACACCCCCACCCCGUGCUGACACAUUUCCCUCACCAUUGCUUCUCAGCUAAUGGUAGGAUUGAUCUAAGAAAACCCUCCAGGUUUUUUUUUACAGAUCAGAAGUUGGCUCCUGCUUAAACAUAUGUGUCUCUUUCCCUGUCUCUGACUUGCAGAAUAGCUGCUAACUAACCAAAAGACAACAUGGUGAGCUGAGGCUAUUAGUGACUAAUAAUGCCAUUUGCAGGCAGCAAAGGCUGAAAGGCUUCCAGAGCAGUUAGCAGUCUGCAAGUAUCUCCCAGAAAUGCAUGAGCAGAGCUCCUGUGCAGCAGCCAAAGAGCAAUUAUUCUUGGAAAGCACGUCUGCCUCAUGGUUUAAAAUCUCUUCUAGUGUAUCAAGUUAAAAAAAAAAAAAAGAGAAAGAAAAAGAAAAAAGUGCCAAAUGAAAGCAGAGAAACCAGAAUAAAGGGCUCUGAGUGCUGUGAAUGACCGUGAAUGCAGGUGGGUGCACCUGGUGACACCCUCUGGCUCUGUGCAGGGUGCCCGCAGCAGUGACAGCCGGCUGGGCUGGCCGCAGCUGGAGUCUGUCCUUGCGGAGGCGGCAGCAGUUUAGUCCCCUCUCCGGCCUUCCCAAGAGCAGAGACACAGGCAGCAUGCAGAGCUCUUCAAAAACUGCAUUUGUUAGAAUGAGCCUCAGUCAAGCAAGCGCGCAUUUUUUUUUUCUUUUGACUUUCCUUUUUUUUUUUUUUUUUUUUUUUUUUUUUCCCCUGCAAAUGUCUCAAUUGUAGCAGAAGUAGUUAUAUUCCUAACACGGUCAUUUUGAGUGCAGCUCUGUACACAGCUCUGCUCUUUAAAGAACUAGCAUGGAUCCUAACAGCUCUCCAGGCAGGAAAUCCAGUGGGACCUCUGCUUUCCUGCUUACUGAUCUAACGCUGGAUCCCUGGAUCCCAAUGAGCCCAUCAAUGCAGUGCCUUGGUAGCAAAUAAUGAUGCAGGGAGUCACCAAAGGACUGUUUUAUGGUCCAAACUUGUUAACUACAGAGAAUAGUUCUUUUGCAACAUUAUUAUAGUUUUUGCAAAUCACUCUUGCUUGCUAGUUUAUUCCACAUUUUUGCUUAACCACUCUGGUGCUAUUUUUUUUCCUUUAAAUGGCAUAUUUCAGUUCCUACAUGGGGCUUAUUCUCAGGGAUUUUUUUUGUGUGUGUGUGUGUGUGUGCUUUUUCUGUAUGCUGCUGCAUCUUUUUUGUGGUUCAGUUAUUUUAAUUAUGCAUUUUAUUUUAAGUACAUUGUUUUAUGACAUCAUUUGUUAAUUGUUCAAUUAUCACUCUGUUCCUUCGCUGCUCUGCAGUGUGUAGUAGCCUUGAAGCACUGGAGGAGUGUGCCACGAAGAGAAAAAUAUAUGGCCUAAAGACCCAAAGAUGCAUUGUCGACAGUUCUGCACUAUUUAAUUACAUGCUGUUUGGCAAAUAAUUAGUAAGAAAUUAGCUUCUUUCUCUCUAUGGGAAGAGCUUUUACAAUUUGCCACCAGCCCCUGCCAGAUGAAGCACGCUGCUCCUGCUCGUGGCACCUCCAUCAGCCUGCGAGCGGCAGAAGCCGCGAUUUGCACAGGUCAGGGCUGGUGGCACCUGUGGGGUUGCCAGCUGAUUGGGACUAACAGCAUUUCACAGCACCACAACAUCAGUGUGGAUUCUGCUGGGUGGUUGGAUGGUACUUAAAAGGUGCAGGUUAACAGGAGGUGCAUUUAUCCAUCACCUCUUAAAUCCCUCAUCUCUCCUGCUGCUACAAGCCCAUGCUCCUACUCUUUAAUUUACUCCCAUACCAACUUGCUGAUGCAACUUGCAGCAUCGUGUCUCUCACCUCACCCUUGACUUGGAAUGCCAGCUCCCUGAUUCCCUUUGCACCCUCUAAAAGGUGAGAGAGCCAGUGGGGUGCACCUCCCCAUCAUUGGUGCUGCCUGAAUUUCAGUGGAAGUAAUUAAAAACAGACCAAAACCCCAAGUGAUUCAGCUGUUGUGCUGAGUGCUGUAUCUGUGGCUGCCGAAGCAGUCAGGUACACACAUUUCGACAGAUGGAUGAAAAGAGCGUUGCAGUCUAUAGAUGCAGAUCUAUUGAGUCGCUCUCUUUCAGCUUGAGAAGAUAAAGGUUCGUGUCCUCUCUGACAGAAGAAGGGCUGAUAUUGGUCUUGUGUUACCUGAGCUGGUUCUUGCUGAUGAAGGUAGCACUGCCUGGUUGAAUUAGCAGCCUGGGGCAUGCCCAGCAGCAAGCAGUGAGGACAAAGAAAGGCAGACCUUAGUGACUUUGAAUGACCAGGUUUGGGUGACACAGAGUAACUCCCAACUGAAUUUGAGAGACUAAAAAAAAACCUGAUCAGAAGUACCUAAUUCCUCUCUUACAUUGAGCCCAGAGUUCAGUGUAACACUUUUACCCUCUGCUUUCUGUCAUCUUUUUUUAUCAUAUGAAGCCCUACAUCAGCCUGUAAAUUGGUUUAUGAGACUGAACUCACCGUUACACAGCUCAGACAAAACACUCCAGGUACUCCAUGGCACGCCCAGGUACAAAAUGGUUUAAUUUGCAAAUCCUUACUGAAUAUUAAUUUGGAAGGGCUGGGUCAGUUGAUGGCUUAUAAUUCUGCUACGAAUGCAACAGUUUGUGACCCAUUCAUAAUGCAAGCCUGAAAGAGAACUGAAGAUGCUGAGAUUCACCAUAUAUCGCUGCAGUAUCUCACUUGUUUUACAGUAAUUUGAUGCUGCCUGAACACAGUAGUCGACCUUUUUUACUCCUGCUUGCAGGGUAGAACAGCAGGGAUGAUAAACCUUAUGCUUUAGUUCAGAAAUAGCACACAUCAGUGAGAGCGACCAGGGUUGCACCACAGGAGAGUAUGCAUUGUGGCAGCUCACAGCAAUUCUGAUUACUGAGGUUUAUUAUAUAUACAAGAAAACCAUAUUGCCCACUAGUGAAAUUGCACAUUGGUCUAAAAUCCUGUUUAGGAUUUCAUUUUUAAACCUAACCUCUUAUCUGGGUUUAUGUCUCCUGGAAGGUGUGUUCCUGUAAGAGACCUGCAUGGCUCAGAGUCCCAUGAAUCUGAAAUGGGAACAUUUGUGAGCACUGUGAUGGUCCUACUCUGCCUCGAGAUGGCAGUGACCACAGCCUAUGUCAGCUAACACACAUUUGCCUAAAGGCAAAACCAAUGGCUCACUAUGCCCCGAGUCAAAGGAAAUUUGUGAGAUAGCUACCUGAGAUGCAAAGGGAAGGAAGUAUGAUCUGUGCAUGGAGGGGCAGUAUCACCGUGUCCACUUUCCCUGCACAGCCUCACUGUGCCCAGUCUGUGGAGGACCACCUUUGUUCUUGGGGCAGCAUAACCAUGGAGAAAGGUAAACUUCAGCACAGUAUGCAGAAAAAAUAAAGCAAACUAGCACUAGAAAACAGAACUUGGGGUCAUCUGGGUGCUAGAUUGCAUCUACUUUUAUUUACACAGAAGGAAACAUAGCAUGAGUAACGGCUCUGAAGCAGCUACGCUGGAUAUUUAUUGCAGAGAGAUGACUGGGACAAAUGAGAGCAUUUCCACUUUUUCAGCAGGUGGUGCACAAUGAGCGUGA